rnacentral:rRNA from 1 species
UACCAGCUCUCCGAGUGGUAGGGAUGAUUAUUGGGCUUAAAGCGUCCGUAGCCGGCUUGGCAAGUUUCCUGUUAAACUCUGCGACUUAAUCGUUGAAUCGCGGGAAAUACUACUAGGCUAGGAGGCGGGAGAGGUCAACGGUACUUCUGGGGUAGGGGUGAAAUCCUAUAAUCCCGGGAGGACCACCAGUGGCGAAGGCUGUUGACUAGAACGCGCUCGACGGUGAGGGACGAAAGCUGGGGGAGCGAACCGGAUUAGAUACCCGGGUAGUCCCAGCUGUAAACGAUGCGGGCUAGGUGUUGGGAUGGCUACGUGCCAUUUCAGUGCCGCAGGGAAGCCAUUAAGCCCGCCGCCUGGGGGAGUACGGCCGCAAGGCUGAAACUUAAAGGAAUUGGCGGGGGAGCACCACAAGGCGUGAAGCUUGCGGUUC